GGGAGCGCUAAUUAACGGCGAAAGUACGGCUGUAAAAACUGUUUUUUAGAUUAAAACACGCUGUUAUUUUUGCAGUAAGUGUCUGCUAGACAUUUUAAUGUCGAGUAGUUGCUAGAUAACGUUGUCACCUAGUAUUUCUGAGUAGUUUUCCCUAACGUUUAGUUUAAUUGUUUGGUUAGCUAAUCGGCUAAUUAGCUAAGCUAAUGAGUUGAGGGUGCUUAGCAACCGUGCUAGCUAAGCUGAGCUAAACUAGGUUAUCUAGUUAGCGUUAGCUUGUGCCUGAGUUUGUUUGUUUGGAGAAGCCAGGCGAGCUUAGAGCGCAAAUUCACCAUCAAAAACAGGCCUGUGUAUAAGCUGGAGUGUGGGAGAAUGGGAUACACGACUUCAGAGCUUCUCAGCCGGAGAAAGAGAGGGAGCUGAGGAGCCAAAAACUACUCAAACAUCGCAUUUACUGGAGGGCUGGCGCUGUGACAUAACGGCUUCAGGCUUCGUCUCUUCAGAAGCCUCAGCCUGCUGGAGUUUGCUGUGUGGACCUUCCAGAGAAAAGGAUUCACUGCCGGCCACAAAAAAAGGAAAAAAGAAAAAGUGUGGGCUUCAUUUGGACAGAGUGAGUCACGGACAGCAGCUACUGCAAUGCAGGGGUUCCUCCUGCUUCUGCUGUUAGCAGGCGGCCACUGAGAGGGUAGAUCUGCUGAUCACUUGUAAGGAAAAAAGAAGGAAGAAGAAACAGCCACUUUACAGAAAGGUAUGUAAAGUAUGCAUCCCAGUCCAGAGAAAAUAGCCUUUUUUAUAAUUAAUUUGUCGGCAAAGAACGAUAUACAACAGUUACAGAGGAAAGACAGUCAAAUCUGUUAGAGCUGCAUUGUAGCUCGUUAAUGUUGUCAGUGUUCGUGUCAGUACCAUCAGAUCUCCUAAGCCACGCCUCCACGCCGUAGAGCUCCAUUUUUACACACACAUUAGAAAGCAGAAGGCCUCACAACACUGAAAUUAGUCCGCCAGAUAGACUAGGUCAGUGGCUGCUGCUGCUGCGUCCAUGCCAGGUGUUUAUAUAUGCUGGUUAGUGGGGCUGCGCUGGGGCUGAUCUCCUGCAGGUCUGCUUGGAUGGAGCAGUUCAGAAAAAUACAAAAACAACGACAGACAGGUCAGACUCGCACAAGGAAGUCCAGGUUGAGUGAUGCAGGCAUGUGUAUGGUCUCCAGACUCAGGGCUGAAGGAGUGUAGGGGAACAGCACGGGGAACGUGUGCUUGGUGUCCACCAGGAGCUGUUUGUUUUCUAUUCUGUCUUGGAGCCGGUUCUGAAAUGGGAAAACAACAUAUAGGGGGGUGUAAAGAUUGAGGAUCUUCACAAUCUGAGAGGGAAAAUAACAAUUCAAGGUUCAGCACUCGAGUUACAGACUGUAAAGGCCCUAAGAAGCUGGGCUGCUUGGAUCAGGGGCUCGAUAGUGGCCAUCACUCCACUCUGGUGUAGGUUCCUCCCCCUUAACCACUCCUCCAUCUGACUGAUGUUGUACCUGGAGUCACAGGAUGAAGUCUUACCUGAGCUGCAUGCCGGUGCUCCAGGAGCAGACGUCUUUGCGCAGCAGUAAGUUGUUGAGUGUGACGGCGUUGAUUGAGUAGAAAAGCUGGCGGAUGACCUGCUGACCAAUCUCUGGGUCCAAACCGUGCUCCCCCAUGAUGGUGUUAAACUGGCCCAGCUGCCUGAUCAGAGCUUCCAGGGUGUAUCCCCCUGGGCCUCCAGUCUCACAGUCCAUACUGGAGGAACGGUUCCUGUAGCCCAUUGGCUUCACUCCUGUCAGACUUCCACUCUCCAGCAUCGCAGACACUAACAAAGAGAGAAAGAAAUGAAGAGAUGAGUUACUGUCAAAAGAGAGAAUUUAAAUCUACUACUCACCGAUCAUGGGCUGCAGAAUGGACUCAGCUAUUUUAAUGAGCUGCUGGUAGAUCUGGAUGGACAGAUCACUCAGUACCUGCCGGUACUCUGCCAGGUCAAAGUUCUUCAGGCAGUGCUCGUUCUGUUUGGAUGUGUUCUGAGUCAUGAAAGCCUGUGGGACAAAAGACACGCAAGGCUUAGCUUAGAACUAGUUAUUUACCGAACAAAAGCUCUUUCACUAAAGAGUGUAAGCUUUGCUGUGUGUCGAAGCAAACGUGUUUGGAUAGGUUGUGCUUCUCACCUCGUCUCCGCUGUAUUGCUUCAGACAGUGCAGGAGUCGACUAGUGUUAGCCAGCCAGAAAGAAGUCAUCUCAAAGUCAUCAUUGUUUUUCUGCACAGUAAAAACAGCACAAAGUGUAAAACUGUUAAUUAUUACUGACACAUCAACAACUCAUCAGCUAAUUUGGUAUAAAAUGUGAAGGGUUUGUAUUGAAGGAGGUGUGUGAGACGUACUUUGAGAACUUUCUUGACAGCGUUGAUCGUUGAGGUGAGCAUAGAGUGCACUUUCUGGUCGUCGUUGAUGUAGUCAGCAUGACGGAUGCACAUGAACAGGAUGUAGGCUGGGAGACAGGGGACCGUGGCUGACACAACAUGGGGCUUCAUGUCUGAGAACACACACAUACACAUUUGCAUUGAAUAGAGUUAUAUAGACUUUUCCCUCCCCCACACAGCAGGUAAAAGUGACCCAAACCUGAAAUGUUCUCAUGAAAUCCUAUGUUUAUUUUUGACUGUUCACGAUAUCUUUGUAAUGUGACCCAUAUCAAAAUAGCAUUGCUUCACAUAAAGUUUCGGUUUCAUCCUGGUCAGAAACUCAAGAGCUAGAAUGUGUUUAGGCUCAAACCGAGCAUAUCUCAAAAUGUAUUUAACCAUGUCUUUUGUAUUACCUCUAUUUUUGUAUUUUUUCUUUGACACUAUUGCUGCAUCCUAUGUUUGUGGCUUUGUUUGGCCAUUUCAUUAGAAACACUGAGCGGCUGUGACACAAGUCUUCUAAUAUUAUUAUAAAAGAGACAUCAGUCCAAAUAUUUAUAAGCUCUGUUAGCUCAUUUUCUUACCAUUCAAACCCUUGUUUAGAGUUCAGACAGUCUCACAUUCCCACAAAUGAGAUUUGUAUCGAUUCAAUACCACAUAUUGAAGAGGUCCAAAUCGGUAUUAAAAAUGUCAGAUUGUUGUUUUUGCUGUUCAGACAGCCACAAAAACAUUUUAAAUGUGUCAUAUUUAAUGUAAUAGAGCAGAUUUGGGCCACUUUUACCUGCUGUGUGAAUAUUUAGAUAGUAUUAAUAAAUGGUCAGCUAUACCAGUAACAAGAGUUCUGAUCAGCAGGGCCUCGUCCUCUUUGAUGUACUCCAGCAUGCCCUCAAAGUCCUUAUCCUUCCUCUGCACUGUGACCUGCCGGGUUAGCUCAGGUCUGGCCCUGCUACUCUGCGCGGCUACAGCCUGGGACACUAUACAACACAGAGAGACCCCACAUCACAUGAGUAUUACAGUGAGCUUCUCCAUGACCUCCUUGAGAUCCUGGAACAGAACAUCAUCUUUAUUUGGAGGCAAAAUAGAGAUUUAUGUACACAGAGCACAGAAGGAAACGCUGUUUUGAAGCUUGUACUGUGUGUGUCUUCCUGUUGGAACAAUUGGUUCUCAUUGGUGAGGCGAGUGAUCUCCUGCUGCACGCUGAACUCCACUAGAGCCUCUGGAGGUAAAGUGCUGAAGUGAUUCAGAGUCUCCUGCUUCUUCUCCAGGUCCUCCUUCAGUACCUCGAUCUGGGUGUGUAGA